AAAUUUUCAGAGUAUUACUUUUUCCGUCUAGUUUUAUUUCUAGUCCUUUUAAAUUUUUAUUUUCCCUUAUCUUAAUUGCCAUUACUUCUACUGCUAGAACAAAUAGUAACGAUGAUAACGGACAUCCUUGUCGGAUUCCACGUGAAGCACUGAAUCGAGUAGAAACCCACCCGUUAUUAAUAAUGCAUCCUUUAAUAUCCGAGUACAUUGUCUGAACCCACCUAAUAAAAUUAUUUUUAAAGCCAAAUUUCUUUAAAGUCUCAAACAUGAAGUCCCAUUCUAACGAGUCAAAUGCUUUUGUAAAGUCAAGGAAUAAGAUUGCCCCAUCUAUUUUAAAAGUCUCAGAGUAAUCUAUUACAUCUUGUAUUUGUCGAAUAUUAAAACCAAUAUACCUAUUUUUUACAUAUCCUUUCUGGUCAGUGUGUAUAAUUUUGGGUAGCAGGGGUUUUAAUCUUUGUGCUAAUGCAUAAGCGAGUAAUUUUGCAUCAUAAUUUAAAAGAGUUAUAGGUCUAUAAUUAUCUAGUGAAAGAGGGUCAUUUUUUUUAUAAAUUAAGGAUAUUAGACCUACUUUCUGAGUGUUUGAUAGCUUUCCUUUUUCAUAACAAUAAUUAAAAGUAGCGACUAUAAAAGUUUUUAAUUCUUCCCAAAAUUUUCUGUAAAAU
rnacentral:lncRNA from 1 species